AAAAGCUUCUGCACCGCAAGGGAAACCAUUAACAAAACAAAAAGGGUAUCGGAAUGGGAGAAGAUACUUACAAGCUUGACAAGACAGGAUUUCUCUUCCUGAUAAAUACAGCUUUUCUUUGAAGAUAAUCUCAAGUCCCAGAAGAGAAAAGGCAGGGCUGGGGGCCAGGAAGAUGGUGGCCACAGAACAUCAUAGGGCUUC
rnacentral:lncRNA from 1 species